rnacentral:rRNA from 1 species
CAAUAGCGUAUAUUAAAGUUGUUGCAGUUAAAAAGCUCGUAGUUGGAUUUCUGGUGGGAGCGAUCGGUCUGGCGCUUAGCGCGAGUACUUGCAUCGUCUCCGGCCAUCCUUGGGGAAAGUCUGUCUGGCAUUAAGUUGUCGGGCAGAGGAUCCUCAUCGUUUACUGUGAAAAAAUUAGAGUGUUCAAAGCAGGCUUAUGCCGUUGAAUAUAUUAGCAUGGAAUAAUAAGAUAGGACUUUGGUACUAUUUUGUUGGUUUGCGCACCAAAGUAAUGAUUAAUAGGGGCAGUUGGGGGUAUUCGUAUUCCGUUGUCAGAGGUGAAAUUCUUGGAUUUACGGAAGACGAACUACUGCGAAAGCAUUUACCAAGGAUGUCUUCAUUAA